GUAGGGGGCGAGCGUUGUCCGGAUUUAUUGGGCGUAAAGAGCUCGUAGGCGGCUCAGUAAGUCAGGUGUAAAAACUCCAGGCUCAACCUGGAGACGCCAUCUGAUACUACUGUGGCUAGAGUCCGGUAGGGGAGCAUGGAAUUCCUGGUGUAGCGGUGAAAUGCGCAGAUAUCAGGAGGAACACCAGUGGCGAAGGCGGUGCUCUGGGCCGGAACUGACGCUGAGGAGCGAAAGCGUGGGGAGCAAACAGGAUUAGAUACCCUGGUAGUCCACGCCGUAAACGUUGGGUACUAGGUGUGGGACCUUAUCAACGGGUUCCGUGCCGAAGCUAACGCAUUAAGUACCCCGCCUGGGGAGUACGGCCGCAAGGCUA
rnacentral:rRNA from 1 species